rnacentral:rRNA from 1 species
AAUGAACGCUGGCGGCAGGCCUAACACAUGCAAGUCGAACGGAUCCUUCGGGAUUAGUGGCGGACGGGUGAGUAACGCGUGGGAACAUACCCAAAGGUACGGAAUAGCCUCGGGAAACUGGGAGUAAUACCGCAUGUGCUCGAAAGAGGAAAGAUUUAUCGCCUUUGGAUUGGCCCGCGUUGGAUUAGGUGGUUGGUGGGGUAAUGGCCUACCAAGCCGACGAUCCAUAGCUGGUUUGAGAGGAUGAUCAGCCACACUGGGCCUGAGACACGGCCCAGACUCCUACGGGAGGCAGCAGUGGGGAAUCUUAGACAAUGGGGGAAACCCUGAUCUAGCCAUGCCGCGUGAUCGAUGAAGGCCUUAGGGUUGUAAAGAUCUUUCAGGUGGGAAGAAGUUUAUUGACGGUACCUCAUGAAUAAGGACCUGCAAAACUCGUGCCAGCCGCCGCGGUAA